GUGGCUAUAGAUAUGUUUGGGGGAAUGGAGGCAAGGGUUGCCUGCGGGAGUUCUUGAGCUGUAGGGGAGAGGCCCCAUGAUUUGCUUAUAUCCCCAGAGACAAAAGAAGGGAGACUGUAGGCUCGGUCUGUGUUUGGAUCUCUGUUACUUUUAUGGGUAAUAUCUAACUAACAGCACAAUCCUACUCAGAAGCAAGUCCUACUGAAUGCAGUUUACUCUCAGGUAAGGUUUGCUAGCCUAGAUCAGGCAUGGGGAAUCUAUAGCCCUCUGGUUAUUUCUGAACAACUCCCAUCAUCCCUGACCACUGGCCAUGCUGGCUAAAGCUGAUGUGAACUCAAGUCCAGCAUCUGGUGGGCCAAAGAUUCCCCACCACUAGGUAGCAAUGGAGAGAUCAAGAGAUCAUUCUGUAAUUUCUAUCAUUCUAGGGGAGCAGUACACAUCGGAUCCUGUGAACAUUGUGUAUCUAACACAACUUUCUUUGCAAAUAUACUGAAGUGUAUAUGUCAGUUACAUACACAGAUCUAUAAAAAGUACAGUAGAUUAGAUAAACAGAAAAGUUACAUGUAGUGUGAUGAAUAUAUGCAUGCAUGGAUCAAUAGGGUCAUUUUCUCUGGGUAUCUUUUACAUGCACAUACUUCAAAGAUAAAACUUGGCCUUGCUUGUACUCUGCAGUACCAUCUGACUUUCAUGAGUCAUUUAUUCCAAAUACCCAUGUAUGUGUG